rnacentral:misc_RNA from 1 species
UGUGGGAGCGGGCUUGCUCGCGAUGCAGACAACGCGGUUUGCCUGUCAAACCGCGUCGCUAACAUCGCGAGCAAGCCCGCUCCCACA